rnacentral:rRNA from 1 species
UACGUAGGUGGCAAGCGUUAUCCGGAUUUAUUGGGCGUAAAGGGAACGCAGGCGGUCUUUUAAGUCUGAUGUGAAAGCCUUCGGCUUAACCGGAGCAGUGCAUCGGAAACUGGGAGACUUGAGUGCAGAAGAGGAGAGUGGAACUCCAUGUGUAGCGGUGAAAUGCGUAGAUAUAUGGAAGAACACCAGUGGCGAAAGCGGCUCUCUGGUCUGUAACUGACGCUGAGGUUCGAAAGCGUGGGUAGCAAACAGG